AGUGAACGCUGGCGGUAGGCCUAACACAUGCAAGUCGAACGGCAGCACAGUAAGAGCUUGCUCUUACGGGUGGCGAGUGGCGGACGGGUGAGGAAUACAUCGGAAUCUACUUUUUCGUGGGGGAUAACGUAGGGACACUUACGCUAAUACCGCAUACGACCUACGGGUGAAAGCAGGGGAUUUUCGGACCUUGCGCGAUUGAAUGAGCCGAUGUCGGAUUAGCUAGUUGGCGGGGUAAAGGCCCACCAAGGCGACGAUCCGUAGCUGGUCUGAGAGGAUGAUCAGCCACACUGGAACUGAGACACGGUCCAGACUCCUACGGGAGGCAGCAGUGGGGAAUAUUGGACAAUGGGCGCAAGCCUGAUCCAGCCAUACCGCGUGGGUGAAGAAGGCCUUCGGGUUGUAAAGCCCUUUUGUUGGGAAAGAAAAGCAGCAGGUUAAUACCCCGCUGUUCUGACGGUACCCAAAGAAUAAGCACCGGCUAACUUCGUG
rnacentral:rRNA from 1 species